rnacentral:rRNA from 1 species
AUUGAACGCUGGCGGCAUGCCUUACACAUGCAAGUCGAACGGCAGCACGGGUGCUUGCACCUGGUGGCGAGUGGCGAACGGGUGAGGAAUACAUCGGAACGUACCUUAUCGUGGGGGAUAACGCAGCGAAAGCUGUGCUAAUACCGCAUACGCCCUGAGGGGAAAAGCGGGGGAUCGAAAGACCUCGCGCGAUUAGAGCGGCCGAUGCCCGAUUAGCUUGUUGGUGGGGUAAGAGCCCACCAAGGCGACGAUCAGUAGCUGGUCUGAGAGGACGAUCAGCCACACUGGGACUGAGACGCGGCCCAGACUCCUACGGGAGGCAGCAGUGGGGAAUUUUGGACAAUGGGGGCAACCCUGAUCCAGCAAUGCCGCGUGAGUGAAGAAGGCCUUCGGGUUGUAAAGCUCUUUUGUCAGGGAAGAAACACCGGCUCUAACACAGUCCGGGAAUGACGGUACCUGAAGAAUAAGCACCGGCUAACUACGUGCCAGCAGCCGCCGUAA